AUUGAACGCUGGCGGCAUGCCUUACACAUGCAAGCCGAACGGUAACAGGUUAAGCUGACGAGUGGCGAACGGGUGAGUAAUGUAUCGGAACGUGCCCAGUCGUGGGGGAUAACUACUCGAAAGAGUGGCUAAUACCGCAUACGACCUGAGGGUGAAAGCGGGGGACCGUAAGGCCUCGCGCGAUUGGAGCGGCCGAUAUCAGAUUAGCUAGUUGGUGGGUAAAAGCCCACCAAGGCGACGAUCUGUAGCUGGUCUGAGAGGACGACCAGCCACACUGGGACUGAGACACGGCCCAGACUCCUACGGGAGGCAGCAGUGGGGAAUUUUGGACAAUGGACGCAAGUCUGAUCCAGCCAUGCCGCGUGCGGGAAGAAGGCCUUCGGGUUGUAACCGCUUUGUCAGGAAGAAACGGGUUUACUCUAAUACAGAGACCUAAU
rnacentral:rRNA from 1 species